AAUUAUGUUGUCUCCUCCUCUUCUGAGAGAACAGUGCAGCAUUUGGGGAGCAAGAAAAGGACAUUCUGGCGGUGGGGUGUGGACAACACUGUAAAGACCAGGUCUGAUGGCACCAGUGGGUCAGGAGUGCCAGUCACGUUGUGGUCUCACCUCCCUGCGGCAGAUCAUGGAGAAGAAGGCAUUUCAACUUGGAGUGAAGCUGGCAUGGCUGCUAGGAUCCUGGACCCAACAGGCAUGAAGUUUGUACUUCGUACAAGGAAAGAAGGGCAUAAAACCGUGGAGCCUUCAGAAGGCAACUCUAUCGAUUCUAAAAAGAAAAACACUUUAACAGGUUUUAACAGAUGUGAGAAGAAUGGCACCAAAGGAAUGAAACGUAACAUGAAUAAUCAGCCACAAGAUGGCAUUUGAAUACUGAUGUAUUUAAAGUUCCGGGCAGUAUCUGGACUUAAACGCAUGCCCAUCUCAAUUUCUUCCCUUCCCUACUUUCUCUCAUACCACCCUGUGAUAAGACCAUCAAGUUUAUGUUCUCUGUAGCCUAACACUCAUAAAAUAUCUUAUUUUUUCAGCUUUUUUUUUUUUAAAUCUCUAAUGAUGGUUAAUUUUAUGUGUCAAUCUGACUGAGCCAUGAGGUGCCUGGGUAUUUGGUCAGACAUGAUUGGGGGUGUCUCUGUGAGGAUAUUUUUGGAUGAGAUUAACAUUUAAUUGGUAGACUGAGUAAAGAAGAUUGUUCUGUAUAAUGUGGGUGGGCCCAGUCCAAUCAGUUGAAGGCCUGAAUAAGGUUGAACCUUCCCCAACCUUCUUCCUGACAGCCUUCAAACUGGAACAUUGGCUCUUCCUGGUUCUAUGGUAGCCUACCAGUCUUCAGACUCAAGCUAGGACAUUGGCUUUGCAGAUUUUGGACUUGCUAUCUUCCAUAAUUACGUGAGUCAAUUACUUAUAAUGUCUAUCUAUCUAUCUAUCUAAUCUAAUCUAUCUAUCUAUUUGUCAUCUAUAUCUAUCCUACCGGUUCCAUUUCUCUGGAGAAUCCUGACUACUAUACCUCUUAAUUUAUUGUUGACAAACUCCCUACUGUUAUAAAAGUUCCAUAAAGGCAAGGACUUUGUCUCGUUUGCUAUUAUAUCCCCAGUGGCCAGACUGACACUCAAAAAUCAUGCAAAUAAUAUUUUCUGAAUUAAAGUAUCUUGCUGGGGAUGCUGUGAUGCACUUAGAUGUUACAAGGCAGCACCGAAGGGAACAAAUAUGUCAGCCUGGGAAAACAGCGACUGCCCGGGUGAAUCGUGGAAUGCCUCAUGUUGUUGUGAAAAGCAAAACGGAAGAGGUUUUUUAAAGAAAGUCAAAACAUAUUAUUACUAGAAGGAGAAGUUUAUAUAAAUUCUGCUAAAAGGCAGGGAUAAUUUACUUGUGAGUU
rnacentral:lncRNA from 1 species